rnacentral:lncRNA from 1 species
GAAUCUUAUCAAGGUUCACAUGUCCAAGUUUAAGAUGCCACAAACUUCUUCUCUAGCCCUUUUAGGUUUUGAGGUAUUCCCGCUUGCAAUACAGUGCAUCCCACUAUUCGUCUCUAGGUGAAAAAGUCCCUCUAUCAUAUCACCAUGAGAGAUAAUACGACCGUUCAAGUAUAAAGUGCAACUCAUUUUGUCAAACAAUACUGAGUGCCCA